rnacentral:rRNA from 1 species
AUGAAUAUUCCAUAUACAGUGAGAGGGGAUUUUAAUAUCUUAAGGCAUAGUGGGGAGAAAAACCAAAGCCUCCAGUACUAUAUAUCCAUUGACUUGUUCAAUUCUAUCAUUAAUACCCUGGGGCUUGGGGAGAUUUAUAUUAGUGGAGGCAAGUAUACCUGGUCCAAUAACCAAUCUCAUCCUACUUUGGAAAAAUUAGACUACAUCCUCAUGUUAGACGAUUGGGAGAACUUAUUUCCCAUGGUGAAUAUUAGGAAAUUAGUUCGAGAACUAUCUGAUAAUAAUCCUUUGUUAUUGUCUUCCAACAAUAAGAAAAAAUGA